UACGUAGGGGGCAAGCGUUGUCCGGAUUUAUUGGGCGUAAAGAGCGUGUAGGCGGUUUGGUAGGUCCGCUGUGAAAACUCCAGGCUCAACCUGGAGACGCCACCCGAUACUGCCAUGGCUUGAGUCCGGUAGGGGACCACGGAAUUCCUGGUGUAGCGGUGAAAUGCGCAGAUAUCAGGAGGAACACCGGUGGCGAAGGCGGUGGUCUGGGCCGGUACUGACGCUGAGGAGCGAAAGCGUGGGGAGCGAACAGG
rnacentral:rRNA from 1 species